rnacentral:rRNA from 1 species
AUUGAACGCUGGCGGAAUGCUUUACACAUGCGAGUCGAACGGCAGCACGGACUUCGGUCUGGUGGCGAGUGGCGAACGGGUGAGUAAUGUAUCGGAACGUGCCCAGUCGUGGGGGAUAACGUGGUGAAAAUUACGCUAAUACCGCAUACGAUCUAUGGAUGAAAGCGGGGGAUCGCAAGACCUCGCGCAAUUGGAGCGGCCGAUAUCAGAUUAGGUAGUUGGUGGGGUAAAGGCCCACCAAGCCAACGAUCUGUAGCUGGUCUGAGAGGACGACCAGCCACACUGGAACUGAGACACGGUCCAGACUCCUACGGGAGGCAGCAGUGGGGAAUUUUGGACAAUGGGCGAAAGCCUGAUCCAGCCAUUCCGCGUGCAGGAUGAAGGCCCUCGGGUUGUAAACUGCUUUUGUACAGAACGAAAAGGUUUCUACUAAUACUAGGAGCUCAUGACGGUACUGUAAGAAUAAGCACCGGCUAACUACGUGCCAGCCGCCGCGGUAA